CACGUGGGUAACCUACCUAUAAGACUGGGAUAACUUACGGGAAACCGGAGCUAAUACUGGAUAAUAUUCGAACCGCAUGGUUCGAUAGUGAAAGGUGGUUUUGCUAUCACUUAUAGAUGGACCCGCGCCGUAUUAGCUAGUUGGUAAGGUAACGGCUUACAAGGCGACGAUACGUAGCCGACCUGAGAGGGUGAUCGGCCACACUGGAACUGAGACACGGUCCAGACUCCUACGGGAGGCAGCAGCA
rnacentral:rRNA from 1 species